GACGAACGCUGGCGGCGUGCUUAACACAUGCAAGUCGAACGGUAAGGCUCCAGCUUGCUGGGGUACACGAGUGGCGAACGGGUGAGUAACACGUGGGUGACCUGCCCUGCACUUCGGGAUAAGCCUGGGAAACUGGGUCUAAUACCGGAUAGGACCGCACCGUGAGGGUGUGGUGGAAAGUUUUUUCGGUGUGGGAUGGGCCCGCGGCCUAUCAGCUUGUUGGUGGGGUAAUGGCCUACCAAGGCGGCGACGGGUAGCCGGCCUGAGAGGGUGGACGGCCACAUUGGGACUGAGACACGGCCCAGACUCCUACGGGAGGCAGCAGUGGGGAAUAUUGCACAAUGGGCGGAAGCCUGAUGCAGCGACGCCGCGUGGGGGAUGACGGCCUUCGGGUUGUAAACUCCUUUCACCAUCGACGAAGGGUUUCUGACGGUAGAUGGAGAAGAAGCACCGGCUAACUACGUGCCAGCAGCCGCGGUAAUACGUAGGGCGCGAGCGUUGUCCGGAAUUACUGGGCGUAAAGAGCUCGUAGGUGGUUUGUCGCGUCGUCUGUGAAAUUCCGGGGCUUAACUCCGGGCGUGCAGGCGAUACGGGCAUAACUUGAGUACUGUAGGGGAGACUGGAAUUCCUGGUGUAGCGGUGAAAUGCGCAGAUAUCAGGAGGAACACCGGUGGGCGAAGGCGGGUCUCUGGGCAGUAACUGACGCUGAGGAGCGAAAGCAUGGGGAGCGAACAGGAUAGAUACCCUGGGAGUCCAAGGCGAAUUCCACACGGAUAUCAGCUUAUCAAUACCGUCGACCUCGGGGGGGGAAACAAAAUAAAAAACUUUUUUCC
rnacentral:rRNA from 1 species